UUUGAUCCUGGCUCAAAUUGAACGCUGGCGGCAUGCCUUACUCAUGCAAGUCAAACGGCAGCACGGGUACUUGUACCUGGUGGCGAGUGGCGAACGGGUGAUUAAUAUAUCGAACCUUACCUUAUCGGGGGGAAUAACGCACCGAAAGCUGUGCUAAUACCGCAUAACCCCUAAGGGGAAAAGCAGGGAAUCGCAAGACCUUGCGCGAUUAGAGCGGCCAAUACCUGAUUAGCUAGUUGGUGAGGUAAAGGCUCACCAAGGCAACAAUCAUUAGCUGGUCUGAAAGGACAAUCACCCCCACUGGGACUGAAACACGGCCCAAACUCCUACGGGAGGC
rnacentral:rRNA from 1 species